rnacentral:rRNA from 1 species
AGUCGACGGACUUACAUUGAAGCCUAGCGAUAUGUAAGUUAGUGGCGGACGGGUGAGUAACGCGUGGGUAACCUGCCUUGUACUGGGGGACAACAGUUGGAAACGACUGCUAAUACCGCAUAAGCGCACAGCUUCGCAUGAAGCAGUGUGAAAAACUCCGGUGGUACAAGAUGGACCCGCGUCUGAUUAGCUGGUUGGUGAGGUAACGGCCCACCAAGGCAACGAUCAGUAGCCGGCCUGAGAGGGUGAACGGCCACAUUGGGACUGAGACACGGCCCAAACUCCUACGGGAGGCAGCAGUGGGGAAUAUUGCACAAUGGGGGAAACCCUGAUGCAGCAACGCCGCGUGAGUGAAGAAGUAUUUCGGUAUGUAAAGCUCUAUCAGCAGGAAAGAAAAUGACGGUACCUGACUAAGAAGCCCCGGCUAACUACGUGCCAGCAGCCGCGGUAAUACGUAGGGGGCAAGCGUUAUCCGGAUUUACUGGGUGUAAAGGGAGCGUAGACGGUUUUGCAAGUCUGAAGUGAAAGCCCGGGGCUUAACCCCGGGACUGCUUUGGAAACU